AGCCCCCUGCCAGCGAAGGAGAUGGCGAGAGACGGCGAGGCUCCCCGCGGAGCCCGCUCGGAAGAGGGAAGUGCUGGGAAAUGUAGUCGCUCGCCAGGACGCGAGGGAGCGGGGCGAGACCGGAGGGGAAGCCCCGGAGCCCUGGCAGCGCCGCAGGGAUUCUGCAGUCGCCCCCGCCCCGUAGGGCCGCCCCGGUACCGCACCGCUCCGGGGCUGAGAGAGCCCCCGCCGCAAAACUUGCCGUCACUGACAGCUGCGGGUGAGGGCGGCGGCUCUCUGGGGGGGCAGCCGGGGCGUUUUCCCUCCCUCCCUGCCCAUACCGCCGUCAGCCCCGCUCUCCUCCUUUACGUGCUCAUUUUCUGAGCAAACCUUCAUUUCCUUCUCUAUGACAUUUUUUGUUCCCUUCUUAAAUUUCUACUCUCUCCUCGCUCUUUUAACAACGAGAGUAGGAAAGGAUUACAAGGCAGAAUCGUUCCUUUCACGUUACAGCAUGCUCUCCUGGACUAAGCAAGGGGCCGAGGUGUCAAGGAGUCCCCACGAUAUCCAUUCCCUGAAACGCGAGAAUAAUUCUCCCUCAGCGGAGGGAUUGGCUGCAUCUGCAACCCAAUUCUACACUCCCACCUACCGGGAAGCCGGGAGCAGCGGUGCUGCCUUUCAGCACGGUGUAUCUCCCCUUCCCUAACUACAUUUCUUUAGGAAAAUGGGACAAGUGAGGCACCUCUCCUCGCCGUUUUCGGAAGGGUCGAUAGCAAGGACGGCCAUGCACGCAGCUGAGGUAAAGGCUAAGCGGGAAUGCAAAAAAAGGAACCUAAAGUUCUUCCUGGACAUUAAAACUUAAAGAGGUUUUCAACAGCUUCUCCACCAUCUUCAGAAUGCUCAUCUGGGAAGAGCAACUGCUUGCUACAAUCCACUAUUAAACCACCUACAGCUGAUAUGCCACCAGUAAAGCAAAA